UCGCCUGCCUUCGGAGCGUUCGCGAUCGAGAUUGCGAUCGCCAGCAGUGGCGGAGAGCCCCUCUUGAGUCCCCUCGCAGUCGGAAUCGAAGCUUUAUGGUGGAUUCCCUGGCGAAUUAGAUGAGCUCGUCAGAAUCCCCUUAUGGAGUCCUCCCGACCGACAUCGUCACACAGAUCCUCGCGCGGCUGCCCGUCUAUUCCCUCUUCCGAUGCAGGUCCGUCUGCAAGCUGUGGAACCGAUUGCCCUUUGAGAAGCACUUCGUCGACCUCUACUUCCGGAUCGGCCCCAAAGACCCCAUCUUGCUGUUGGAAUUCCCCGAGUCCAGCGCCUUCCUCUCGGUCGACCGAUUUCGAGGGGUCUCGGCCUUCUCCCUGGGAUUCUUGAACGAUAAGGUCAAGAUCAGGGCCUCCUGCAAUGGCUUGCUGUGCUGCUCCAGCGUUCGGAAUCGUGGCGUUUACUACGUCUGCAAUCCGGUCACCCGAGAGUUCCGUGUGCUGCCGAGAGCGAGGGAGAGGCCCCUCACUCGGUGCCAACCGGAGUACGAGGCUACCCUCGUCGGCUUGGCGUUUGAUCCCGUCUCUUGGAAGUUUAAUGUUGUUCUUGCUGGAUUCCAUCGUUUUUUUGGUCACCGGCCUCAUGGCGAGUUCGUCUCCCUGGUGUUCGAUUCGGAAACCAAUUCUUGGAGUCGAUCGGUUUCGUUGAUGCACGACGAGUUCACCCACAUGAAUCGCUGCCAAGUUGUGUUUUCUUGUGGCUUACUGCAUUGGUUGACGCAUAGCUGUUCUUAUGUGCUUGCUUUUGAUUUGAAAAGUGGAGUUUGGGGGAAAAUCUUGCUGCCCGAUGAAGUGCUGACGACAAGGUCUGGAUCCAGGGUUUAUCUUCUGGAGCUGGAAGGCUCGGUGUCGGUCGUUCAGAUAACUGGGGUUUGGAUGAGCAUAUGGGUUUUAAGAAAUCAUGACACUGAGCAAUGGACUUUGGUUGAUAGAGUGCAUCUCCGGUGCAUCAGUGCGUUUGCUGCAAGCAUAUUUCCUGUGAGCCAGUCGAGAGAUGUUGCCUUCAUGGCGACGCAGAAGAAGAUUUUGAUAUACAACUUGAAGGGCAAGGUGUGGAAGGAGGUAUAUGGUGCAAAUGGAACUGUGACAUAUCCACUGUGGUUUUCAUCUUAUGGUUUCAGGAGCACACUUUUUCCUUGUCAUCUUUAAGCGACCAGAUUAUGCCAUGCGUUUGGUCAAUAUUGAGUUUCUCUUACUAAUCAACAAGUGAUAUGCAUGACAUAUUAUUGCCCAGAGAUUGUCACACAAGGCAUAGUCAUCAUCCAUAUGGGAAUAAAGGGUCUGUCCUGCUGAUGCGGCCGUGACAGUGGAAGAGUUCUUCGAGUGGUUGCAGAAUGCAAUGCAGUCCGGCAUGUUUGAAGCCAACAGCCAACAGCAUAGCAAAUGAGAGCCCUUCUCCCAGAAUUGGCAGUUGCUUCAAGAACAGCUUCUAACAAGAAGAAAGGUCCUAUGAAACCCUGUAAAAAACAUGACCACCUUAUCCUUUUAGCCAUAACAACACUCCUAAUCCUGCUUGAACAGAUGAUUACUUCGACCGGGACAAAGGAUUUUCUGGCUGUGCAACAAAGGAUGUCAAAGCAUCAUGAGACACUUUUCAGUGUUAGACAGUAUACAUGAAGUUGAUCUGUGUCAGACUAAUGAGUUGGCUUGUUUCUUUUUGAAGUCUGUAUUCAGAGCAAGUUGAAAUGUAUGGUCAUUGUAGACUUUGCCUGUGGUGAUGAUGGAAUAAGCAAUGAAGUAAUAGAGUGCAGUGAGAUCAGCUGCAAACAAAGUGUUUUUUGUUGUCAAAGAGCACAGAAAUCCAUCAAGAUGCAAAUGUUUUUUUGGUUUUGAUUUCAUGUACAAAUAAAUCCAAGCUAUAGGUAGGUUUUCACUGAACUUAAAUUUAAAUACAUGAGAAAUGUAGCACUCCACUAUGCAUCAACAAAUGCCAAAUCAUUAGAAGCACACUGUUUGGAAUGCUGUCAAAUCACUACAACCUUCUUUCGGUACUUAUAUAUUAGUUUCUCGCGUUAAAGAAUACUUGCAGCACUUAAUUAAGCACCCGAGUAAAGAGAGAGAGAGAGAGAGAGAGAGAGAGAGAGUUGUCGGCAUUCUCUGUGCAUGAUGUACAUCAUCACCGGCCCUUGUCAUCUGCAUCGACGACGCCUGCGGUGCCUGCGAGCAUCAAGUACUUGUCUUUCCGGGUGAGGCUGGUGCAGUGGAAGCCCAGAAGCCGUCCGAUCUCGCCUUGCAGAUGGUUGGCCAUCUGGUAGCUGCUGCAGACCUCACCGGCGAUGGAGCCGGUGGGCACCCUCCCCAUGAACUCCACCUCGUAGCACGGGAAGGGGUUCAUGAGGAAGAACAAGGGGUCCAGGAACUUGAGCUUGUUGGUGCUGGUGCCGUAGAACAUGGUGACCGAGGUCUCCGACGCCACCGGCGUGACCUCCCGGCUCACCUCCGUGAACAGUGGGCUGAACCGGAGCAGGUACGGCUCGCGGCACGUUGUCCCCUCGGGGCACACCACGACGAGUUCCCCUUCCUCGAGCAGCUGCUUCAUCCUCCUCUUGUCCUCCUCCCUGUUCCUCGUCAGCCGGACGGUCCUGAUGGGGGAGAUCCACUCGCUGAUGCGGCUGACGCUGUAGGUGGUGGCGGUGACGUUGCGGCGGAGGGCGGCGGCGAUGACGAGGGGGUCGAGGAGGGUGCGGUGGUUGGUGAUGUAGAGCCGGCUGCUCCUUGCCUCCUCCUCCUCCUCCUCCUCCUCCUCCUUGCGGGGGGAAGGAGAGGAGGUGACGACCCGGUUGCGCAUGCCAAGGAGGGCGAGCAAAGGGAUGGAGAGAACGUAGGGGAGGAGGAUGAAGCUGAGGGCGCGGGCGGAGGCGAGGAGGAAGCCGAGGGGGAGCCACACGAACAUGCACAGUGCGGCGAGCGGGGUCGGCCUGAAGGCGAUUCUGCCGUCGUGGAACACCAGCGGCUUCGGGUACUUGGAGCUUGGCAGCGGAUGCCACCUUCUCUUCUCGGCUUCGCUCACCGAGUACACUUCCUGAGACCAAAUCCCAAGUCAUGAAACGAGCACGUUUGGCUCGAGCCAUUUAUCUUACUAUAAAUUGGGUCCUUUUUAUCUUAUAUAAUGUGUUGCUGUGGAUAGCAUAGAUUUUGUUGACCGACCUCACAGUGGGAGAAGAGACGUUGCUUGCGAAGAGAAUUGGGAUAGCUUCCGAAUCCAACAGCCCCGCCUUUCCCCACCUUCUCAUCUCCGAGCAGCUCCUCCAAAGCCAAGCUUGCCUUCGUCUCCUCCUCCUCCUCCUCCACCAUCAACCCGGUGUAGUACCCGCCGAACACCUUCAACUCCCUCCCCAACACCACCUCCACGUCCAAAUACCCCUGCAGAAACUCUUCCACCAUUACGGUUGGCAUGGAGCUGACACACACCCUCCUCCCUCCUCUCCUCACCACCUCAAACCCUUCCAAACCAACCUCCUCCAGGAAGAACUUGGGCAGCACAGCUCUGCCAACCCUAAAUUUGUCCUUCCUCAGUCCUAGGAAGCACACCAUGACCAUGACCCUCAGCCCCACCUCAUGGCUCAGGCAAGAGAUCAGAGGGCACAGAAUCAAGAGGAGCAGCCCCCUCAAUAGCCCUCCUGCCUCCAGUGCCACCAGCAUGAAGUAUGGGAAGGUGGAGGAUGUCCUGAGGAGCCCUCCCUCCAUAUCACAAACUAUGGUUUUGCCGGACAGCUUUUCCGGCGGAGGAUGUUUCUGUGUCCUCCCAUAGCUUGCGUAGGAAGUCCUCAGCCUCCUUAUCGAGAACUUGUAGAUCAAGUAAAGGGACUUCAACAAGGACUUUGAAUUCAUCC